AUUGAACGCUGGCGGCAUGCCUAACACAUGCAAGUCGAACGAGUGGCGGACGGGUGUGUAAUGUCUGGGAAACUGCCUGAUGGAGGGUGAUAACUACUGGAAACGGUAGCUAAUACCGCAUACCAUCAGAUGUGCCCAGAUGGGAUUAGCUUGUUGGUGGGGUAACGGCGCACCAAGGCGACGAUCCCUAGCUGGGCUGAGAGGAUGACCAGCCACACUGGAACUGAGACAAGGUCCAGACUCGUAGGGGAGGCAGGAGUGGGGAAUAGUGCACAAUGGGCGGAAGCCUGAUGCAGCCAUGCAGGGUUUAUGAAGAAGGCCGUCGGGGUGUAAAGUACUUUAAGCGGGGAGGCGUUACCCGCAGAAGAAGCACCGGCAAACUCCGUGCCAGCAGCCGCGGUAAUUC
rnacentral:rRNA from 1 species